rnacentral:rRNA from 1 species
CAACUUUCAGCAACGGAUCUCUUGGCUCUCGCAUCGAUGAAGAACGCAGCGAAAUGCGAUAAGUAAUGUGAAUUGCAGAAUUCAGUGAAUCAUCGAAUCUUUGAACGCACCUUGCGCACCUUGGUAUUCCGAGGAGCAUGCCUGUUUGAGUGUCAUUA